rnacentral:lncRNA from 1 species
UUUUUUUUAUUUUUAUUUUUUUUUAUUAUUUUAAACAAUAUACUUUCCAGUAUUCAAAUAAUUGUUUUGUACACUAUUUUGUAAUGUUUUUCACUGAAAACGUAGCAUUGAGGUGUAUUUUCCGGAAUUGGCCGAGUAUUACCGGAAUGCCAUGUGAUAACGUUACGGAAAGGCAUGUGAUAACAAUCGAAGCAUGUGAUAAACUUUUCAUAUCAGCCCGCUAAGCACCAAUUCGAAAAAUAUGGAAUUUACGUCAAUUUAAUGCUAUUAUCAUACGGUAAAAUUUAUAUGUUAUUUAGUCUAAGUAUAUGAUAAUAGAGUCUAAAAA